rnacentral:lncRNA from 1 species
GGAUUCUUGUUGCAAUUCUGGUUUUGUGUGUGCAGCUAUAUUUGGUUUUGGGUUAGAGAGGAGAUUUAUAUUUUUGCGUGGUGCUUCUAUAAAUUCCUUGUUGUCAAAACCGCAACCAUUAUAGUGCAUUUGCUUCCAUGAUUGGAAGGAGACUAGAUGUAGGCAUUGUUGGCCGAACCAGUAUAAAAACCAGUGUUUGAUUUUCUCUAUCCCUGCACUCUUUAUUUCAGUCGACUUUAUAUUUCUAGCAGUCAACU